CCGAUGAAGCUCAAAAGGCUAUAACUGAGAUGAACGGAAAGCAACUAAACGGGCGGGUUAUAUUCGUCGGCUAUGCUAAGCCGAAGCAAAGUUUCAGAAGCGGGAUGCCGAUCGCAAGAGGACCACCUCACCCCGUGGUGGCAGCUGACAAUGACAAUGACAAUAAAGAUGACAAUGACGACGAAAUCACAAACAAACAGGCAAGAGAAUUGGAGUGAGGUUAGAGUAUUAUGGCAGUGAAACCUCGAAACCCUUAAGGCCGUAGAACUAUACUACACCCUUUUCGCCAUUUCUUGCGAGCGAUUAACGGUUGUAGAUUCUUAUGAACCGCGAUUUCGGAAUGCAAGAAGGAUGAGUAGUUUAGUUGUGUCCGCCAUGCAAAGGAACCAGUAUCCAAUCCUUUUGGGGACAUGACAUUGUUGUUCAGUCUUUGUUCCUUCUUCUCCCUACUGUCUUCCCAAUGUGAAUUAAUCACCUUUUUUUUUGGGGAUAUCCAUAAAAAAGAUGGUGAAAUUAGGGCUUUUCCACUUUUCAAGGGAAUGCUAACCGACGGGAUGGAGAUUGAAGAAAGAGCAUAUGAUAUAAUAAACACUUUUCGAUUAGUUCUAUAAUCUCCCUUGUGUUCGGUUGUUUCUUUGUUUCACUAAGUGUCCUGUGUUGAAGACCAAGACUUGGGACACUAACUAAAAAUAAACAAAAAAGUUUUUUUUUCUUUAUCUCAGUAUGUAAUUUAAAACUGAUAUAAAUUUAUGGAUUAUUUA